CUGAACAACGCAUACGAACUUAUCGACGAUGAAAACAACCACUAUCACGGAUUAAACCGCUGGAACAAAAUUCACUACUUCACAAUCUUCUCCUCCGUAACACACAUUCAUAGGAAUUAAAUCCCCUAACUGCGCACCAUUACGCCAUUUCAAAAGAUGUAAUUGUAAACGACCCUAUAGAAAUUGAAAACUACAGAUAAACAAAAACCCCACUUACCAAAUCAAACGAAGGAAACUGGAAAUCAAAAAGCAAUGAUAUGACGACAGAUUAUGAACAGGAUAGAAGCAGAAAACAAAAAAGAAAAAAUACAGAAAAAGGAAAGAGAAGAAUGUCAGAAAGAAGAGGGAUUUUUGGGGAAAAAUGAAAUAAAAUUAAAUUAAAAUAUUUAAUUCAAAAUUAAAUCCCACUAAAAUCCCAACCCCCCAAUAUCCACAAACCAACAAACUCCCCCAAAACUGACCCAAUAACUUAUCCAAC
rnacentral:lncRNA from 1 species